CCAGGACGCCAGUUUUGGCGGAGCCAUCCUUGGGAUACCACCCUUGUAGUACUGGGACUCUAACCAUAGGCCAUGAAUCUGGUCUUGGGACACUGUCAGGGGGGCAGUUUGACUGGGGCGGUCGCCUCCCAAAAGGUAACGGAGGCGCUCAAAGGUUCUCUCAGUACGGUCGGAAAUCGUACGUAGAGUGUAAAGGCAAAAGAGAGCUUGAUUGCAAGACAUACAGGUCGAGCAAGGAUGAAAAUCGGACUUAGUGAUCCGG
rnacentral:rRNA from 1 species